rnacentral:rRNA from 1 species
CACCGGCGGCUCGAGUGGUGGCCACUUUUAUUGGGUCUAAAGCGUCCGUAGCCGGCUUGGCAAGUCCCCUGGGAAAUCUGGCGGCUUAACCGUCAGGCGUCCAGAGGAUACUGUCAGGCUUGGGACCGGGAGAGGUGAGAGGUACCUCAGGGGUAGGGGUGAAAUCUUGUGAUCCCUGAGGGACCACCAGUGGCGAAGGCGUCUCACUAGAACGGGUCCGACGGUCAGGGACGAAAGCUGGGGGCACGAACCGG